AGAGUUUGAUCCUGGCUCAGGACGAACGCUGGCGGCGUGCCUAAUACAUGCAAGUAGAACGCUGAAGAGAGGAGCUUGCUCUUCUUGGAUGAGUUGCGAACGGGUGAGUAACGCGUAGGUAACCUGCCUUGUAGCGGGGGAUAACUAUUGGAAACGAUAGCUAAUACCGCAUAACAAUGGAUGACACAUGUCAUUUAUUUGAAAGGGGCAAUUGCUCCACUACAAGAUGGACCUGCGUUGUAUUAGCUAGUAGGUGAGGUAACGGCUCACCUAGGCGACGAUACAUAGCCGACCUGAGAGGGUGAUCGGCCACACUGGGACUGAGACACGGCCCAGACUCCUACGGGAGGCAGCAGUAGGGAAUCUUCGGCAAUGGGGGCAACCCUGACCGAGCAACGCCGCGUGAGUGAAGAAGGUUUUCGGAUCGUAAAGCUCUGUUGUAAGUCAAGAACGAGUGUGAGAGUGGAAAGUUCACACUGUGACGGUAGCUUACCAGAAAGGGACGGCUAACUACGUGCCAGCAGCCGCGGUAAUACGUAGGUCCCGAGCGUUGUCCGGAUUUAUUGGGCGUAAAGCGAGCGCAGGCGGUUUGAUAAGUCUGAAGUUAAAGGCUGUGGCUCAACCAUAGUUCGCUUUGGAAACUGUCAAACUUGAGUGCAGAAGGGGAGAGUGGAAUUCCAUGUGUAGCGGUGAAAUGCGUAGAUAUAUGGAGGAACACCGGUGGCGAAAGCGGCUCUCUGGUCUGUAACUGACGCUGAGGCUCGAAAGCGUGGGGAGCGAACAGGAUUAGAUACCCUGGUAGUCCACGCCGUAAACGAUGAGUGCUAGGUGUUGGAUCCUUUCCGGGAUUCAGUGCCGCAGCUAACGCAUUAAGCACUCCGCCUGGGGAGUACGACCGCAAGGUUGAAACUCAAAGGAAUUGACGGGGGCCCGCACAAGCGGUGGAGCAUGUGGUUUAAUUCGAAGCAACGCGAAGAACCUUACCAGGUCUUGACAUCCCGAUGCUAUUUCUAGAGAUAGAAAGUUACUUCGGUACAUCGGUGACAGGUGGUGCAUGGUUGUCGUCAGCUCGUGUCGUGAGAUGUUGGGUUAAGUCCCGCAACGAGCGCAACCCCUAUUGUUAGUUGCCAUCAUUCAGUUGGGCACUCUAGCGAGACUGCCGGUAAUAAACCGGAGGAAGGUGGGGAUGACGUCAAAUCAUCAUGCCCCUUAUGACCUGGGCUACACACGUGCUACAAUGGUUGGUACAACGAGUUGCGAGUCGGUGACGGCAAGCUAAUCUCUUAAAGCCAAUCUCAGUUCGGAUUGUAGGCUGCAACUCGCCUACAUGAAGUCGGAAUCGCUAGUAAUCGCGGAUCAGCACGCCGCGGUGAAUACGUUCCCGGGCCUUGUACACACCGCCCGUCACACCACGAGAGUUUGUAACACCCGAGGUCGGUGAGGUAACCUUUUGGAGCCAGCCGCCUAAGGUGGGAUAGAUGAUUGGGGUGAAGUCGUAACAAGGUAGCC
rnacentral:rRNA from 1 species